CCUACGGGCGGCAGCAGUGAGGAAUAUUGGUCAAUGGACGCUAGUCUGAACCAGCCAAGUAGCGUGAAGGAUGACUGCCCUAUGGGUUGUAAACUUCUUUUAUAAAGGAAUAAAACGAGGCACGUAUGCUUUUUUGCAUGUACUUUAUGAAUAAGGAUCGGCUAACUCCGUGCCAGCAGCCGCGGUAAUACGGAGGAUCCGAGCGUUAUCCGGAUUUAUUGGGUUUAAAGGGAGCGUAGAUGGGUUGUUAAGUCAGUUGUGAAAGUUUGCGGCUCAACCGUAAAAUUGCAAUUGAUACUGGCAGUCUUGAGUACAGUUGAGGUAGGCGGAAUUCGUGGUGUAGCGGUGAAAUGCUUAGAUAUCACGAAGAACUCCGAUUGUGAAGGCAGCCUACUAAACUGUGACUGACAUUGAUGCUCGAAAGUGUGGGUAUCAAACAGGAUUAGAUACCCUUGUAGUC
rnacentral:rRNA from 1 species